GGCCAAUGAUGGAUAAAAAUUGUCCGUACCAUCUGAGUGAUUCUUUGAUGAGAAUUCUAUCAUUGGUUUCUGAGGCUA